AUUGAACGCUGGCGGCAGGCCUAACACAUGCAAGUCGAGCGAGCGGCGGACGGGUGAGUAAUGUAUGGGGAUCUGCCCGAUAGAGGGGGAUAACUACUGGAAACGGUGGCUAAUACCGCAUACCAUCGGAUGUGCCCAGAUGGGAUUGGCUAGUAGGUGGGGUAACGGCUCACCUAGGCGACGAUCCCUGGCUGGUCUGAGGGGAUGACCAGCCACACUGGAACAGAGACACGGUCCAGACUCCUACGGGAGGCAGCAGGGGGGAAUAUUGCACAAUGGGCGCAAGCCUGAUGCAGCCAUGCCGCGUGAAUGAAGAAGGCCUUCGGGUUGUAAAGUUCUUUCGGUAGCGAGGCGUUAACUACAGAAGAAGCACCGGCUAACUCCGUGCCAGCAGCCGCGGUAAUUC
rnacentral:rRNA from 1 species